rnacentral:rRNA from 1 species
UAUAAGAUGUUUUUUUUUUCUGGCUCAGGACGAACGCUGGCGGCGUGCCUAAUACAUGCAAGUCGAGCGGACAGAUGGGAGCUUGCUCCCUGAUGUUAGCGGCGGACGGGUGAGUAACACGUGGGUAACCUGCCUGUAAGACUGGGAUAACUCCGGGAAACCGGGGCUAAUACCGGAUGGUUGUCUGAACCGCAUGGUUCAGACAUAAAAGGUGGCUUCGGCUACCACUUACAGAUGGACCCGCGGCGCAUUAGCUAGUUGGUGAGGUAACGGCUCACCAAGGCGACGAUGCGUAGCCGACCUGAGAGGGUGAUCGGCCACACUGGGACUGAGACACGGCCCAGACUCCUACGGGAGGCAGCAGUAGGGAAUCUUCCGCAAUGGACGAAAGUCUGACGGAGCAACGCCGCGUGAGUGAUGAAGGUUUUCGGAUCGUAAAGCUCUGUUGUUAGGGAAGAACAAGUGCCGUUCAAAUAGGGCGGCACCUUGACGGUACCUAACCAGAAAGCCACGGCUAACUACGUGCCAGCAGCCGCGGUAAUACGUAGGUGGCAAGCGUUGUCCGGAAUUAUUGGGCGUAAAGGGCUCGCAGGCGGUUUCUUAAGUCUGAUGUGAAAGCCCCCGGCUCAACCGGGGAGGGUCAUUGGAAACUGGGGAACUUGAGUGCAGAAGAGGAGAGUGGAAUUCCACGUGUAGCGGUGAAAUGCGUAGAGAUGUGGAGGAACACCAGUGGCGAAGGCGACUCUCUGGUCUGUAACUGACGCUGAGAGCGAAGAACCAC